rfam:Hordeum vulgare subsp. vulgare, WGS project CAJW01000000 data, contig: morex_contig_49541
AAUGUACUCCCUCCGUCCCGAAAUAAGUGACUCAAAAGUGACUCAAGUUUGUACUAACUUUAGUACAAACUUGAGGCACUUUCGAGUCACUUAUUUUGGGACGGAGGGAGUAGAAU